GACGAACGCUGGCGGCGUGCUUAACACAUGCAAGUCGAACGGAAAGGCCCUGCUUUUGUGGGGUGCUCGAGUGGCGAACGGGUGAGUAACACGUGAGUAACCUGCCCUUGACUUUGGGAUAACUUCAGGAAACUGGGGCUAAUACCGGAUAGGAGCUCCUGCUGCAUGGUGGGGGUUGGAAAGUUUCGGCGGUUGGGGAUGGACUCGCGGCUUAUCAGCUUGUUGGUGGGGUAGUGGCUUACCAAGGCUUUGACGGGUAGCCGGCCUGAGAGGGUGACCGGCCACAUGGGGACUGAGAUACGGCCCAGACUCCUACGGGAGGCAGCAGUGGGGAAUAUUGCACAAUGGGCGGAAGCCUGAUGCAGCAACGCCGCGUGCGGGAUGACGGCCUUCGGGUUGGAAACCGCUUUCGCCUGUGACGAAGCGUGAGUGACGGUAAUGGGGAAAGAAGCACCGGCUAACUACGU
rnacentral:rRNA from 1 species